GAAAAGGGAAAACCAUCAUUUCUUUUUUGUGAUUUUUUUUUAAAAAUUCUACAUAUAAUUGUGCUGAAUAAAAAUAUUUAUUUUUUGCAACAUUAAAGACCAAUUUCCUUCAUUCUUUGUGGCUGCAAUGAGGAAAAAAUACAAACUGUGUCUCUCUUCCGCCCCAGUUCCCUUCUGCCUUCUCUUAAUAUGUGUAUUUUAUAUUGUUGCUUCAGUUUGCUAUUGAUUGUUUCAACGAUGACUCUAACUACUGUAAUGCUGAUAAGGAUGACUUCUGG
rnacentral:misc_RNA from 1 species